UAAUACGAACUGUGCGAACGUUAUUCGGAAUCACUGGGCUUAAAGGGUGCGUAGGCGGUUCUCUAAGUCAGGUGUGAAAUCUCUCGGCUCAACCGGGAAACUGCGCCUGAUACUGGAGGACUGGAGUGAGGCAGGGGUGUGUGGAACUUCCGGUGGAGCGGUGAAAUGUGUAGAUAUCGGAAGGAACGCCAGCAGCGAAAGCGGCACACUGGGCCUUUUCUGACGCUGAGGCACGAAAGCCAGGGGAGCGAACGGGAUUAGAUACCCCGGUAGUCCUGGCCGUAAACACUGAGCACUAGAGGAGGGGGGUUUCGGCCUUCUUUCUCGUAGCGAAAGCGUUAAGUGCUCCGCCUGGGGAGUAUGGUCGCAAGGCUG
rnacentral:rRNA from 1 species